rnacentral:lncRNA from 1 species
UAAAUUUGCAUAUUUUAUUAAUUCAUGUCCAUUAUCGAGGUUUAAGCAAAACUCACUAAAUUUAUUAACAAAUACUCGGGAUUAGUGUUAUUUUUAAGUAAAAAGUGGUAACAGCUACUAGAAAAAACCUAUAUAAAUUAGAGUUUACAAAGAGAAAGAAAAGAACAAGGAUCACUUCAUUAUGAUAAAGGUGUUCUACAACAAGUAUAAAGCAAAACAUAACAUCUCAGUUUCCUCCCUUAAUGGAUGAACUAGCAGGCUCGACUGAAGCAUCGCCUAGCUAGGGACAAUCUUCAAGGUCUCACUCCAAAAAAUGUAAGAAGCUCUUCUACAUCCUCAACUUCAGGUGUAAAGACGACUGAUUGCUUCCACUCCUCUUGAAUGGCCUCUCAUCCCUAACCUUCGGAAUUGUAAACGUUAAAGUUAAGUAAGUUUGUGGAGACAUCUUUUAGACACUCGAAGUCUACCUUGCUUAAGUUGAAGGGAUCAGUGACCACUUGGGCAUAGAGAAUUAAGCUUGCCCUCCACUUCAGGAGAGCUUCGAUGAGAUAUUUUUAAGUAUCAUUUUGGUAUUUAUUGAGGGCCUCUCUCUGGGACUAGCGCAGCUGUUCCAACUCUACCUUGUGCUUCUCUUCUUAAGCCCUGAACCACUUCUCAGAAGUAGAUCUUUCGCUCUCUAAGUAGUUAAUCCUAUCCUUAAGUUGGUUAAUCUCAAUCUGAGCAUACCCGUACUCACUUCUCAGAAUCAUGAGUUGUGAAGGCAACCUCGCCAUCAAGCCACUUGAGCAAUGAUACUUCUAACGAACAUCAUCUAAGGUGUCUUCUUUAGAUUUUACAAACUUUUCUAAAUCAAUCAUUCUCUAUCUAUAAUGCUGGCUAGCCUCCCUAAAAGCCCCUUCCCAAAGGUUGUACUCAAGAGAUGAGAUUUAUGAGAUUUAAGCCAUAAAGUGAGAGGCGUCCUCGUAGGAAUAAAGAAAGGUAGAAGAAUAAAGCAUCUCUUAAUUAUAGUAGCAACAGGUUCAGCCAUUACUCGAUAAUCAAGUAGAGAGUGGGUAGAAAGGGUGUGAAGUCUAUGAAACCACACCAAGGGAAGUUGAUGCUUGACCCUAAGGGAAGGAUAUUUUGUGAUAAGGAAGGAAGAGUAGAGGCCUGAGACGAAAGAGCUACCCUCGAGGGAUUCUCGAGCGGGAAAGGAUCGAUAAAAUGUCUAAGAGAAUAUGAGGCAGAUGCAACAGGCCCCUUACCUGUUUGAGGUCCCAUUGAAAGUAAGCGCUUACUGCUAGGAUCCUGGACACCACUGGCGAUCCUAGCCCUCUUCUUGAAUGCUGACUUACUUAGGGGCGUAAUGGUAGCCUUGCCCUAUCCUUGAGACCCUUUUAAAAGUGAAGAAAUAUCCAUGCCUUAGGGUAAAGAUAGCAAUGACCCUGCAUCAGUAACAAGCAGGUUAGCUUGGCGUGAAGAUAAGUAAAUCCAAUUUUUCAAUCGUAUUUUGCAAAUGCAAUAAAAGUAUGAAGGGGGCUCUCUGAUGCGCCCCCAAAAGGAUAUGCAUCAAUUCGUUGCCCGAAUUGUAUGGCCAAGCUAGAAGAGCCAAGCAUACAAAAGGAUCCACCUAUUGAAGGGUAUAAAAAGAUAGACUAUAACCAUUAGGACUUAAAUUUUCCAGACAAUGUUGGAAUACAUUUCUGACUAAAACCAUUGUUGCCAAGUCAAGUGAAUUACCCCUCAGUCUUUGGUAUUGUCUUUCGGCCUCGUAGAUAUACUUUAACUAACAAGCCUCAUAGACGCUUUCACGAGGAAGUGACCACUUAGUAGGAAAACUUAAGCCCGUGCUAAGUUUACUCACCACCCUUAUGAAUUUAUCCUUCCUCGGAAGAAAAUCUGGGAUUUCAUUUUUUACGAGAGGUUCACAUUUGGGCCUCAAACUAAAACAAGCAUUACCAACAGUAGCUCCAGUUCUCUAGACCUUGAGAAGAAAGAAUCUUUGAAAAACCCCCAACAGAAGAUGUUCAUUGUGUAUUCGAAAAUUAAUAAAGAAUGCCACCAAGGUCCACCAAGACAUGACUGAUAAUUGGCUUAAAGCGAUUCUAAAAUGGUUUAAUACAGUGCAGAAGAAUAGAUGAAGAGGCAGAUGGAACCCAACCUAAUGUGCUAUAGCUAAGACGGCCCUAAUCAGGAAUCUGGAAAUCAAAAGAAAAGUUUGGGAUUUAGAGACCCUGGGCCUUCAGGUAUCACUCCAUCUCCUUCUAAGAAGUGGAGCAAUCACACAUUGUGAUCUUCAUUACUGAAAAAUUCCAAUGGGUAACUUUUUUACUGACCUAACUACAACCCUUUUCUUCAAUAAUAGUCCUCUGCAUGAAUAAGACUAACCAAGGGAAGAAUAAAAGAAAAAGGAAUAAAGGAAUUACCUUUAAAAUGAAUCAAAAAGUAGAGAAUAAUGAUUUCAGAGGAAGGCAACGAGGAGAGCUAGGGAUUAGAUGACUUUGGCAAGAUGUUGAAUAUAUAGUCGUAGUGUCUGACUAAUGGGGAAACUUGUUUAGAAAGUUAUUUGAAAAAGGGGAAAGCAGUUUAGCUUCUCUGAUAAAUAAAUGACAUCUGCCGCAAGGGAGAGAGGAAA